rnacentral:rRNA from 1 species
CAGUCGCCGCGGGAAUACGAAGGGUGCAAGCGUUACUCGGAAUUACUGGGCGUAAAGCGUGCGUAGGUGGUGGUUUAAGUCCGUUGUGAAAGCCCUGGGCUCAACCUGGGAAUUGCAGUGGAUACUGGGCCACUAGAGUGUGGUAGAGGAUAGUGGAAUUUUCGGUGUAGCAGUGAAAUGCGUAGAGAUCGGAAGGAACAUCUGUGGCGAAGGCGACUAUCUGGGCCAACACUGACACUGAGGCACGAAAGCGUGGGGAGCAAACAGGAUUAGAUACCCCUGUAGUCCCUGUCUCUUAUAC